UCGGGGCUUUGUUUUUGAUUGAACUCCUUAGUAUUCAGACGACACACUUAAGAAACGGGCUGUGGCGAAGGCCACGGGGCGCUGGGAAUACUCGGGCAGGCCCCGCGCCGAGGCCGUGCGGAAACCCGUGGUCUUUGCCUACAGCCGUCGAGUCCUUUGCUCAGGACUCCGGGCGGGCGGGAAAAAGUAAAGAGGCCUAUUGGCCAUCAGCAGAGGGAGUAGUGUCCACCUGACAGCGUGUGCAGCUCAGGUUCCCCACCUCCCAGGGAAGCAGGAUCCGGUCCAGAAAUAGCUUCAUCUUGAUGCACCUCUCCCAUAGGAGGCUCCGGUUGCCACAUUAACAGACCCAGACCAAGAGGAUACUUGGUGAGAGUCAAAGACAAGGCUUCACAACAGUUACCAACCAUCCAGGCUGUACAGAAACAACGUACAAAUGAUAAACCUUCAGAGAAGCCAAAGGCCCUCCCCUUAAAGUGGCUUACAGAUCAACCUGUCUGGGUAGGACAAUGACCCAUGACCUCCUGAAGCAGUGGCUGAUCCUACAUACAAAACAGCUGAGACGAUGCAGUCAUAGACGA